GUAAUUUUGUGAAAUGGGGUGGCGCGUAGCGCGGUGGUGUCACAAAUGGUUUUGGGUAGAUGUACCGCAUUCGAAAAUUAUAGGGCUUCGCGUUUUGAGAGCUUUGUGUGUCCCGUUGUGAUGAUAGAGUAGGUCAA
ensembl:ncRNA F28B12.5 ncRNA